CACUAGUUUCCUAUUCUGUUUCCUGUUAGCAGCGACACAAUUUGCAAGCUGUUUAGCGUCAGCUUGAGAUCCCAAAAUGUAUUUUGGGUUUUGUGUGAGAGUGCUUGUGGUCUCACUGACUUUUGGGCAGCAAUCAAAUGCAAUCAGUGAGAGAAGAGGAGGCUCCAUUGGCAUUAAGUUUGAUUAUCCAAUAAACCACAAACUAGCUUUUCCGUCUACUGUUGAGAGUUCUGCACAGUCUGAAGGGUUUCUAGGUAGUUCUGGAUCCAGUCACAGUGCAGGUGGGCAAGUCGAAAGGUACAGUCCAGAGGGAAGUGUUUCUAGUUACGGCUCCAACCCCAAUGCGAAAGGUGUCAUCCAGACGAAAGCUGGCAUGUGGGAUUAUGUCUCUCCCGAAAAUGGAAAAAGAGUUGUCUCUGGUAUUGCUUCAAGUCGGGGAAUUGUUAUGAAACCUGGUCCUCGGCCCCCUUCCGAGCCCAAGCCAUCAGUCUACCUGUCCAAGCCC